AGAAGAAGGAGGGGGAGAAGAAGGAGGAGGAGAAGGAGGAGGAAGAGGAGCAGGAAGAGGAGGAAAUGUCAAAACAAGGAGAAGUUCCAAAGAGUUUGAUGUCCAGUCAAAGGUGACUCCCACCUCCCAACAUUACCUGGAACAUGGAGGGUAGCUCCUGCAGCAGCAGGGCCAGGUGCUUGUAGUCCGCGUAGGCCCAGUACUGAGAGGGGGGGUACUGGCCGAAGGGCCCCGCCCCCGGCCCGGUCCGGCCCCCGGUCCAGCUCAGGAAGUCCUCCAGCCGGGCCGCCACGAAGGAGCACUGGGUCUCAAACAGCGGCGCUGAGGAGGAGGAGGAGGAGUCUCUGCUUGUUUACUCACAAACAGAGUCAGCUGAUCGAUGUUCAUAACCCCUCAUGAGUCAUUUAGAAUAGUAACGAGCAGCGCUCUCAUUGGACGAUCCAUCAGUCUUCUGAACUGGAUCAUUUUGCCCUCCAGGCGGUCUGACAGGUGCUCGGCGGUCCAGAGGAGAGACGGCCAGCCGGCGGCCAUGUUGGUGAAGACCGCCGGGUCUGCAGGUGCUGGAGGACCUUCUGGGCCUCCUGUGGGCUGAAGGCUUUCAU